UGCGGAGGUCAUUAUUGUAUAAUGGAGGUGCUGAGGUUGUCGCUGACUUUUGAAAGGGUCGUGCACGCCUCGGUACUCUCACAUAUAAUCCAUCUCACCCCUUUGGGCAUCACCGCGUGGGGACCCCUUUUGGCUAGUUCUGAGGGGGGUUUUCACGUUUUUACAUACACACAUCAUUUUAAUGCAUUGCAUAGAAUGUCUUACUUUUUGCGAUCACACGCAAUUAAUACAACUUUCAACAACGGAUCUCUUGGCUCUCGCAUCGAUGAAGAACGCAGCGAAAUGCGAUACGUAAUGUGAAUUGCAGAAUUCAGUGAAUCAUCGAAUCUUUGAACGCACCUUGCGCCCUUUGGUAUUCCGAAGGGCACACCCGUUUGAGUGUCGUGACAUUCUCAAAACCUUCUUGGUUUCUUGACCGGGAAGGCUUUGGACUCUGGAGGUUCUUGCUGGCCUUUCUUUAUUGAAGCCAGCUCCUCUGAAAUGCAUUAGUGGGAUCUGCUUUGCCGAUCCUUGACGUGAUAAAAUAUUUCUACGUCUUGGGUCUUGCACUGUUUGCUCUGGAUCCUGCUUCUAACCGUCUCAUAGAAGACAAUGGCCACUUGGCCUACAAACCUUGACCUCAAAUCGGGUGAGACUACCCGCUGAACUUAAGCAUAUCAUA
rnacentral:sRNA from 1 species